CACUAAUUCAUUAAUAUCCAUUUCAUAUGAAUUUUACUUGCGUUGUGAUUGGCUACCCUCUGUGAAUAUGGAUGACGUGUAUCGAAUGCCCCCUAAUGAUUCGUCAGAGGAAAAUGGACGGAUGCUAGCUUAUUAGUCGCGAGAACGAGCUAAUCCCCACCUGAAAACCGCUUGUAAACUCAUUAAGUAGCCGCAGGGCCACGACCCGCUAGAUAAUAUUGAUGACAGGACUUAGAGCUGCCAUGACUUGUCCACAGUUUCGUUUAGCCAGACACGUUGCCCAGCAAGCACCAGAACCGCCGCUAGCUUGGAUCAAAAAGUACACCGAAAGUUACGAGGGGUUUCGUGGUAUCCAUGACAACAGCGUGGAAACAUUUGAGCUCCUCGCCAUUAUUCUUCCGCGGGUGUCACAACGACGACGGAACUGGCGUUUCGGCGACCGGCGAAAGUGGACCGUCCAUGAUGAUACAGACAGGCUGAAGCUGGAUUCGUGGAGGUCCCUCAUGCCCCCGUGCCUGGUGCAGGGGCGUGUUGGAGUGUCCAGAUCUGAAGCCCCGAAAUCCCUCUUUCCUGAGUUGACCACUGCAACAACUUCACCUGUGUACGGCUCCCGCUCCACAGCUUUCACCGCCUGACACUGCGGGACGUUACCUUGGUGCCGCUGUAGUAGUCAUCUGCCGUGGUGGCGUUCAUGAAGCUCUCCUCCAGGUGGACGCUGGUGUCGAUGCCCCCGGGGAGGACCAGUUUGCCCGAGGCAUCGAUCACUUUGGCCCCACCGGGGAUCAUCAGCUCCUUCCCCACCUGCUGGAUGAUGCCGUUCUCAAUGUAGACGUCGGCCUCCUGGGUGCAGUCGUCGUUCACCACCUUGCCGCCCUUUAUCAGGAUCCGCACCAUCGCUGAGCUGGAAGACAUGGCUAUAGCUCUGUAAGGCAGAGAGGAAAAAAAGAUUUGACGCGGGAUUUAAGCCUUUCUGUCGGACGCCGGUUGUAGCUGCUGUAACAGUCGUGAUCUGACUAUGUAAAAGAACUACACCACAAAAAAAUACGAGAAAAGUUACAGCUACCACUCCUUUUUUAAACCGUUUGGUCCAAGGAUGCAACACCAUAAUCAAAUAAACUAGAGGACAAACAAACAUCUGCAUUUCUAUAAGAAACUAGAGAAAAAUUAACAUUUUACAGUACCUCAUUCUGAGACAGAGAAGUAAGACUAUAGUAGAGAGAGAAGGGUGAGCGAUGCCGCUCUGAGACCAGUCUGUCGGGCUGUGACUGACAUCAGCUACAAGACCGAGUAGGCUGUGUCAGUCACCGCCUGUGACCUGAUGUCUCAGUGGACCAUGAUGUAUUGGUAAACAGGAAGAAGCCGAGUCCAGUUGUGGGUUACAACAAGGCAAACAAGUGCCAAUAAGGCCAUUAUUUUGAAAAGACUGAGGCACCGUAAAGCUACUUACAAUGAUGUUCACUCACUAUGAAGCUAUAUAGGAAGAAUCAUAGUGGCUGGAAAAUGUGCUUUUUGAGUACGUUGAAGUGGGUUCCCUUACACAACAUGUCUGCCAAAUAGCUUUACCCCAGUGCUUCCCAACCAGUGGGUCAGUACCCCCACACCAGGUCACAAGAGGAAUUUAAGGGGUCACCAAAGGAUUACUGGGGUAGGGAAUAAUUAAAAAAACAAGUUAUGCUACACAAAAUCUUAAUUCUAUCUUAUUUAUUUUUUGGACUUUUCUCCUCUCUCUCCUGUUUUCUUGCAAAUUUUGGAUAGCAUUAGCUCCACAGGCAUAAAAUGAUUCUAAUGAAACAGUCUGAAACGGUAACGUUACUGUUUGAAGUGAACUGCUCACUACAUCUUUUUACUAAAGUGUCAGCAAGGGCCAUACAUUCUACAGCUAAAAAUUUGCACGUGGUGGUAGUUUAUAAAUUGAUUCCAGUAUUUUUUUUAACAUCUUUUGGACCACAAAAACUGACAAAUUGGUUCAGUGUUCAGAAACGUAUUCCUGGCAGUGUGGAAAGUUUGAAGAAGUGUUUAGACCUUCGUGUUGCGAAAUAAAA